UACGGAUAGCCCGACAUAUUCGUGUACGCACAGCAGCCCAGAAACAGAGAGGGGAGAGAUCGACGAUGCCACCGAAGUUCACGCACCCGCGGCUGGUGCACCACGUAAGCCUGUUCACGCGCGUAAAGGCGUGGUGGCUCGGCAUCGAGAACCCUGAGGUGCUGUCACGGUACGGCGAACGGGGUGUCGCGCGCACGGUGUGGAUCGAGUGGCGUGGCACUCUGGCCAUGUGCGCCGGUGGUUUUGUUUUGUUUAUUGGCCGUCAGCAGUCGAAGCGUGCGAACGACAUUCUUGACAAUAUCGAGCUGAACCGCCAGCGCUUCUACCAACGGGACUUCACGCCGACGUACGUGCCUGACGCGCCGAGCGGUGUGUACGAUGGCGUGAGGGGAUACAGUUACCGCGACGAGCCGAGUGGACUCAUGAUCAAUGCGGACAACAAGUUGGUCUCCGAUGAAUCGCGAGCGGCGCGGGGCGAGCGCCUGGCGAAGACCGAGGUGACACCGGAAAUGGUCGCCCAGGCGCGCAAUCUCCUGCACAGCAGACGCUACGAGGGUACGCCAGAAGGAUGAGUAGGCGGUGACGUGUGCCAAUAUUCACCGGCAGCGGUGUUAAUGACGGUGACUACUACUCAGACAGCGGCCGUGCACAUCAUGCGCAGGCUUUUCUGGCGCCUCAUACUUCAUGUUUUGUUUGCAUGUCGACGCUCUGCUGCUGCCCCAUCCUCCUCUUGUGCUCAUGCUGAGGGGCUCGGGGCUCUCGCGUGAUGACGUACGUG
rnacentral:misc_RNA from 1 species